rnacentral:rRNA from 1 species
GACAGAGGGUGCAAACGUUGUUCGGAUUUACUGGGCGUAAAGCGCGUGUAGGCGGCUUUGCAAGUCGGGUGUGAAAGCCCUCAGCUCAACUGAGGAAGUGCGCCCGAAACUGCAGAGCUUGAGUACCGGAGAGGGUGGCGGAAUUCCCCAAGUAGAGGUGAAAUUCGUAGAUAUGGGGAGGAACACCGGUGGCGAAGGCGGCCACCUGGACGGUCACUGACGCUGAGACGCGAAAGCGUGGGGAGCAAACAGG